rnacentral:rRNA from 1 species
GAUGAACGCUGGCGGCGUGCCUAAUACAUGCAAGUCGAGCGAACAGACGAGGAGCUUGCUCCUCUGACGUUAGCGGCGGACGGGUGAGUAACACGUGGAUAACCUACCUAUAAGACUGGGAUAACUUCGGGAAACCGGAGCUAAUACCGGAUAAUAUAUUGAACCGCAUGGUUCAAUAGUGAAAGACGGUUUUGCUGUCACUUAUAGAUGGAUCCGCGCCGCAUUAGAUAGUUGGUAAGGUAACGGCUUACCAAGGCAACGAUGCGUAGCCGACCUGAGAGGGUGAUCAGCCACACUGGAACUGAGACACGGUCCAGACUCCUACGGGAGGCAGCAGAAGGGAAUCUUACGCAAUGGGCGAAAGCUUGACGGAGCAACGCCACGUGAGUGAUGAAGGUCUUCGGAUCGUAAAACUCUGUUAUUAGGGAAGAACAAAUGUGUAAGUAACUAUGCACGUAUUGACGGUACCUAAUCAGAAAGCCACGGCUAACUACGUG